UUUAAUUGAGAGUUUGAUCCUGGCUCAGGACGAACGCUGGCGGCGCGCCUAACACAUGCAAGUCGAGCGAUGAAAGAACGCCUAAACCCUUCGGGGUGAAGAUGUUCUGGAUUAGCGGCGGACGGGUGAGUAACACGUGAGUAACCUGCCUUUGACAUGGGGAUAGCCUCGGGAAACUGUGAUUAAUACCCAAUGAAAUUACAAAUUCGCAUGAAAAUGUAAUCAAAGCGUAUAGCGGUCAAAGAUGGACUCGCGUCUGAUUAGCUAGUUGGUAAGGUAACGGCUUACCAAGGCAACGAUCAGUAGCCGGCCUGAGAGGGUGAACGGCCACAUUGGAACUGAGAGACGGUCCAAACUCCUACGGGAGGCAGCAGUGGGGAAUAUUGCACAAUGGAGGGAACUCUGAUGCAGCGACGCCGCGUGAGCGAAGAAGGUUUUCGAAUCGUAAAGCUCUGUCCUAUGGGAAGAUAGUGACGGUACCAUAGGAGGAAGCCCCGGCUAACUACGUGCCAGCAGCCGCGGUAAUACGUAGGGGGCUAGCGUUGUCCGGAAUUACUGGGCGUAAAGGGUUCGCAGGCGGAAUUGCAAGUCAUAUGUGAAAUUCAGAGGCUUAACCUCUGCAAGCAUGUGAAACUGUAAUUCUUGAGAUAUGGAGAGGUAAGUGGAAUUCCUAGUGUAGCGGUGAAAUGCGUAGAUAUUAGGAGGAAUACCAGUGGCGAAGGCGACUUACUGGCCAUAAACUGACGCUGAGGAACGAAAGCGUGGGGAGCAAACAGGAUUAGAUACCCUGGUAGUCCACGCCGUAAACGAUGAGUGCUAGGUGUCGGGAGUAAUUUCGGUGCCGUAGUUAACACAAUAAGCACUCCGCCUGGGGAGUACGUACGCAAGUAUGAAACUCAAAGGAAUUGACGGGGACCCGCACAAGCAGCGGAGCAUGUGGUUUAAUUCGAAGCAACGCGAAGAACCUUACCAAGUCUUGACAUAUUAUUGACCGGUAUAGAGAUAUGCCUUUACCUUCGGGUACAGUAAUACAGGUGGUGCAUGGUUGUCGUCAGCUCGUGUCGUGAGAUGUUGGGUUAAGUCCCGCAACGAGCGCAACCCUUACCUUUAGUUGCCAGCGCGUAAAGGCGGGAACUCUAGAGGGACUGCCGAUGAUAAAUCGGAGGAAGGUGGGGAUGACGUCAAAUCAUCAUGCCCUAUAUGACUUGGGCUACACACGUGCUACAAUGGUCGGAACAAAGAGAAGCGAAAGGGUGACCUCAAGCAAAUCUCAAAAAGCCGAUCCCAGUUCGGAUUGUUCUCUGCAACUCGAGAACAUGAAGUCGGAGUUGCUAGUAAUCGCAAAUCAGAAUGUUGCGGUGAAUGCGUUCCCGGGUCUUGUACACACCGCCCGUCACACCAUGGGAGUUGGCAAUACCCGAAGCCUGUGAGCCAACCUGAAAAGGGGGCAGCAGUCGAAGGUAGGGUUAAUGACUGGGGUGAAGUCGUAACAAGGUAGCCGUAUCGGAAGGUGCGGCUGGAUCACCUCCUUUCUAAGGA
rnacentral:rRNA from 1 species